GAUCUCUGAGUUCAACGCCAGCCUGGUCUACAGAGUGAGAUCCAGAAUAGGCACCAAAUGACAUAGAGAAACCCUGUCUCAAAAAACAAAA